GAUGAGGCUAUGGCUCACAUUCAACGUCACAUCAAGAAGUCUUGAACAUGCUCACAGUUCAGCAACUGUUGCUUGCAAACUGUGGAUAGACCUGAGCCCUUGGACCAUGCCCAAGGACUACCUGACAUGAUGACUCCUUGCUGUCCCCAGUCCACCUGGCCGUGCUGCUGCUCCAGUUGCAACUGUUCUGCAUUAUUAUUAUUAUUCGACCGUGCUGGUCAUUUAUGAACAUUUGAACAUCUUGGCCAUGUUCUGUUAUAAUAUCCACCCGGCACAGUCAGAAGAGGACUGGCCACCCCACAUAGCCUGGUUCCUCUCUAGGUUUCUUCCUAGGUUUUGGCCUUUCUAGGGAGUUUUUCCUAGCCACUGUGCUUCUACACCUGCAUUGCUUGCUGUUUGGGGUUUUAGGCUGGGUUUCUGUACAGCACUCAAAGAUAUCAGCUGAUGUACGAAGGGCUAUAUAAAUACAUUUGAUUUGAUUUUUCAGCAAGUUGCAACAUUGAAAUAA